rnacentral:lncRNA from 1 species
UUAGGACUCCUCUUCUGCCCCUCGCAAGCCCCCUAGUCAAUCACCAGCCGAGACGCCCGCCACCGUAUCCCUGAUGCCUCCGGCCAGCCCAAGCCUCCCCCUCCUUCCCUAAGCCUCCGUUAGCCUUCUGCUACACCAUGGAACCCAUCCCCGGCACCAAUUUAUCUCGAGAGCCACCAAGGACGAAGGCCCUCUUCCUCCUGAUGCCGCCGUCCGCCAUGAGUGAAGCCUUGAUCAGCUCUAAGCUUCCUGGUGACCCCCUCCAGCUCCAUGAGAUGCGGUCCAUCCUCGUGAGCAUGCCGGUCUAUCGAGCUUGGAGGACGACGCACCCUAGCGCAGGCAAUUCUCGCCGGAGUCCGGCCUCUAUUCCUCCCAAGCGCGCGUUGGGCAGGAAGAUGAACUGAUAGGAGGUCCCCACCAGUCUGUGAGCUAGUCUCCUCCGUCGUUGGCGCAUCGCGUGGAGUGCCUUUUGUCACACCAUGUUUUCACAUCUCUUGUCAAUGGUGUUUGAAGAUUUGAUAUAAAUUCAAACUUUUUAAGUAAAUGCUAUGAGUGUCUUGAUUGUCAUUGUUUGUAUGUGUGCUUGUGAGUAGAUAGCUAAGGCCAGUUUUUAUAAAUAUUAUUUCCACAAAUUUUUUAUUUAUUUAUUUUGGUAACCGAAAACCUUGCUUUGGGGUUUGCACUACAGGUCCCUGAAUUUAAGGGAGUGCCUUCAUUCAAAGAUUGUAUUCUGACUCUAAUACUAAUAUAACUCCUCAAAACCAUAAAAUAAUUAUUUUUAAAGUAAUUUUUGUAUUUUAUUUAUAUGUCCUUUUCUAAGGCCAGAAAUGAUAUAUCUGGGUGAAAAAUUAUUUUUCUACCUUAGAAAAAUCUGAGAAAGUUUAGGAAGACUCUGAGGACAUAUAUUUUCCAUACAUAAGAGUUUCAAGCCCUAGUCACGUUCGAAAUACUGGAGCCGACUUUUAAAAACCAAUUCUGUCUGUUUUGAUCUUCUGAAAUAUUUUCAAAGGAAAUAUUCUCAAUAAAUUCCCAGAAAAUGCUAGCAUGUCCCACAUUCUAUAUUCGGUGAUCAUGCAAAGUUUCACCACCAUCCAAGGUGAUUUGUUUCAUCGAAUAAUUCAAAAACCCUCUUUGUUCAGAAUAAAGUUGAAGCAACUCUACAUUGCCAAGUUUGUCCAUCUCAUCUCAAAGUUUGCAUGAGUGCUCAAUACCUCAAAUAAGGAGGUCAUGCCUAGAUUUGGAUUUGUGGGAAUUUAUUUGCUCACAUCUUCUCACAAGAUUGUAGGUGUGCCCAUUUGUGGGUAUUUUCAAGUUUACAUUGUCAAACUUAUCGAGUGGAGCUCAAAUCUGGUAAAGCCUCCUAAUUAUAUCCAAAACCAAAUCCUUUUAAAUUCCAUUCCAUUUGGAGGAGGUUAACUUCCCCAAACAUGAAGUAAACACCUUCUGUCAGAUUUGAAAAUCAACAUCUAGCACCCUCCACAUCUAGUAAACCCUUCACUCCAAACUCAUGACACAGAUUGCCUGUGUCUUCCGACAACUGCAGACGAGAGGCCUAGCACUGGUUCAAUGAGAGGGAGCCAAAAUCCCCAUUUUAGCACUUCAAUCAAGACUGACAACAUCACUUUACCACUCUCCCCUUGGCCUGCUUGAUCCCUCUCGGCCCCUAGUAUCCAAGGAGCAUCUAACCACUCCCCGAGACACACUAGGCAUGGCCAAGACGCGCCAGAUUGCGCCAGCAUGCCAUGGCAUGCAAAGGCUGCGGUCUGGACGCGCUACAGGGCACACCUGAUCCCAAGGAGGCUAGCGUCGGCCAGUUCCCGCCCCUCCCGUUGCCCCUCUUUGACCACACCGACGACCGAGACCAGGGCAACCUCGGGCCCCACUUUUACCCCCUCACCUCUUCCCCUGGCGACGCGUGCCCUCAUGCGCCCGAACUGACCAGAGUAACCCAUCCAACUUAACGCGCCAGCAGCGCUGCCCCCGCUCCGCCUGAAGAUGCUGCAUGGUCCAAAACCGUGUCCACAAUACCACGGGUUCUCUCCCGAGCCCUCUUUCCCUCUCCUGCCACAACAGCAAAACCACCGGCGCACCAUCGUUCGGUGACACGUCGCCUGCCUAUUUAAAGGCUACUCCGCUCUCCUCCGCACCUCCAGAACCUCCCUCUCCUCCCCAAUCGACAAGCCUGACCACCCCCUUCGCCUAAAAGAGCCCCGGUAAUCGAGAUCGACCGAGGCGCCGCCACGUCGGGGCUCCGUCGAUCUCGGGCUACACGCACGCUCCGACGCUCCUUUCACUUCCCCUGUGACCGUAAAGACCUCCCGAACCUUCUCCACCACUCCCCCGUCCUUCUCCUUGUUCCAAGCACCAUUCCCAGCAACUUCCCGAAAGGUCUCCACUGAGGCUUCGUCUUCCCCCGCGACACAUGCCAUCUUCAUCAUCCCCUCGACCCCCAUCUGGUAGGCGAUAGUGCCACGAGCCCAUUCCUGUGCUCGCCUGACCUCGAGAACCACAGAGCUACCGCCGGUGAGCCGCCCCUCCUCUCUAUCUAGAGGUAGGAGAUGACCCCGACAGGAAGGACCCACCUAUCGUCGACAUCUCUCUCCCCCUCUCUCCUCUCUAUAGUAGGUCGUACGUCCCCGUGCGUCAGGUUUGAACCUGACGGCAUGCGCGCCUGGGCUGGCUUGCUGGCCGAGCGAGGCCACUGAGCUGGCUCCUUUUUAUUUAUUUUAUUUCUUGUUUUUAAAAUAAAUCCAUAGGACUAAUUCUUUAACCAAAUUUAAAUAUUUCUCCACCAUAAUUCUUGUAAAAUUGUGUAGUAUUUAAUAGUACCGUGUGUGGAAUUUUUUUGAAAACUUCUAUGGAUAGAUUUAUUUUAAAACAUGGUUUAAGUAUUUUUAACUUCUGUUAAAGAGACUUAAAAAAUACUUGUUCAUUUCAAAACCAGAAACAAAUAUUUUGAUUAAUAAUAAUAGGAUUUUACAGAAUAGGAUAACAUUUUUAUGUGAGUUUGUACUCUAUUUUUGGUUGUGGUCCUUAUUAUUAUUAUUUCUAUUACGAUUAUAGAUCACACGUUUGACGUAGGACUUGGACCCGAAGACCUCGAAAACCCCGGAUACCUAGUUGAUCAAGGCAAGCAGCCCUUUGACCAUGUUUGAGAAAAUAUUUUAUGCAUGCCAUGUUGAUUACUUUAUUCCGAUGCAUCUGAUCAUGAUUAGUCAAUAAACCCUCGGUAUGGUGUUACCAAUGGCUCCUCUGGAGCACUUGCAUUUGAGCAUGACCUUACCAUCUAUGAGGGUCACGCUGAUGAAAAUUGACAAGUAGACAGUAGUGCUAUGCAUAAGAUGAGCAUAUGCAUGGUGAUGGUAACACAUAGGCAAUUACAAAGACUUUUCGAAAACCCGGUCGGGUGCCACUAAUGGCCAAGGGUGAUGGUGUUGAGAUGGUGAACACUUGAGAAAGAAGUGGUGUACCGGAAAAAGGUUUUGUGUGUGUGGUUUCGGAAAUGGGAGUAGAUUUAAGAUUUGCUGACUAUCCCAACCUUACUUGUACAACUGAUACGUCUCCAACGUAUCUAUAAUUUUUGAUGGUUUCAUGCUAUUAUCUUGUCAAACUUUGGAUGUUUUGCAUGCCUUUUAUAUAUUUUGUGGGACUAACUCAUUAACUCAGUGCCAAGUGCCACUUUCUAUUUUUCCAUGUUUUUGACCCCUUUCAGAGGAGAUUUUGAAACAGAGUCCAAACAGAAGAAAAUCCUCGAAAAGAUUUUUUCGUAACCGAAGAAGAUCAGGAAGCUUGAGAGCCAAGGCAGGGGAGCCUCAGGGGCCCCACAAGCCCCCACCCCGCGGCCAGGCGGGAGGUCGCGGCCCAUAGGCUUGUGGGCCCCCUAGGCGCCCUCUGACCUAGGGGUUGCGCCUAUAUAUUCCCUAAAAAUCCCAAAAAAAUCAGGGGAUCAUCGAAAUUACUUUUCCGCCGCCGUAAGCUUCUGUCUCCGCAAGAUCCCAUCUAGGGCACGUUUUGGUGCCAUGCCGGAGGGGUGAUUCAGAUACGGAGGGCUUCUUCAUCAACACCAUGACCUCUCCGAUGAUGUGUGAGUUGUUCACCAUAGACCUACGGGUCCAUAGCUAGUAACUAGAUGGCUUCUUCUCUCUCUUGGAUCUUCAAUACAAAGUUCUCCAUGAUCUUCAUGGAGAUCUAUCCGAUGUAAUCUUCUUUUGCGGUGUGUUUGUCGAGAUCCGAUGAAUAGUGGAUUUAUGAUCAGGUUAUCUAUGAAUCUUAUUUGAGUUUCUUCUGAUCUCUCUUAUGCAUGAUUUCAUAUCCUUGUAAUUCUCUUCGAGUUGUGGGUUUUGUUUGGGAAACUAGAUCUAUGAUUCUUGCAAUGUGAGAAGUGCUUGGUUUUGGGUUCAUGCCGUGCGGUGACUUCACCCAGUGACAGAAGGGGUAGCGAGGCACGCAUCGUGUUGUUGCCAUCAAGGGUAAAAAGAUGGGGUUUUCAUUAUUGGUUUGGGAUUAUCCCUCUACAUCAUGUCAUCUUGCUUAAGGCGUUACUCUGUUCGUCAUGAACUAAAUACACUUGAUGCAUGUUGGAUAGUGGUCGAUGUGUGGAGUAAUACUAGUAGAUGCAAAAAGUAUCGGUCUACUUGUCUCGGACGUGAUGCCUAUAUGUAUGAUCAUUGCCUUAGAUAUCGUCAUAACUUUGUGCGGUUCUAUCAAUUGCUCGACAGUAAUUUGUUUACCCAACGUGAUAUUUGCUAUUUUGAGAGAAGCCUCUAGUGAACACUAUGGCCCUCGACUCUACUCCACACCAUAUUUUCAAGCUUACACUUUUUACUUCGUUGCACUUUACGCCUUCAGGUCUCACUUUGCAAACAAUCUUGAAGGGAUUGACAACCCCUUUGAAGCGUUGGGUGCAAGCUUGUUUGUGUUUGCGUAGGUACUCUGGACUUGACGAGACCCUCCUACUGGAUCGAUACCUUGGUUCUCAAACUGAGGGAAAUACUUACUGCUCCUGUGCUGCAUCACCCUUUCCUCUUCAAGGGAAAAACCGACACAAAACAAGAGAAGUGGCAAGAAGAAUUCCUGGCGUUUCUAGGGAAGGACUUCUGUUGCCGUAGCAGAAGGAUUUCUGGCGCCGUUGCCGCAGAGGAUCAAGUCAAGAACUCAUCCAAGUAGGUGUCGCAAACUCAUAUCUUGCAUUUACUUUGUUUGCCAGUUGCCUCUCGUUUUCCUCUCCCCCACUUCACCAAUUUGCCUUUUUCCGUUUGCCGUUUUAUUCACCUUUUUCUCGCCGGAUCUCCUUGUGUUACCAUGCGCCUUCUAUUAGCUUGCAUAUUUGCUUGCUAAAAAUCCAUUGAUAUGGAUCCUCAUCCACUUGUUAAUCUUUUCAAGAGAUCCAAUUAUGAGGAACCAAUUUCUAGUGAGUGGAUGAUGACCCACAAGUAUAGGGGAUCAAUCGUAGUACUUUCGAUAAGUAAGAAUGUCGAACCCAACGAGGAGAAGAAGGCUCUGAUAAAUGGAUUUCAGCAAGGUAAUAACUGCAAGCACUGAAAGUAGAGGUAACAAGUGAUUGUGUAGCGAGGUGAAACUUAGCAAGCAAAGAGUAACUAGUAACAAGUAGUAGCAACGGUGCAGCAAGUGGCCCAAUCCAUUUUCUAGCAAGGGACAAGCCUGAACAAAGUCUUAUAGGAGGAAAAACGCUCCCAAGGACACACGGGAAUUUCUGUCAUGCUAGUUUCAUCAUGUUCAUAUGAUUCGCGUUCGUUACCUUGAUAGUUUGAUAUGUGGGUGGACCGGCGCUAGGGUACUGCCCUUACUUGGAGAAGCAUCCCACUUAUGAUUGACCUCUCUCGCAAGCAUCUAGCACUACAAAAUAAGAAUUAAGACAAAGUCUAACCAUAGCAUUAAACUAGUCGAUCCAAAUCAGCCCCUCACGAAGCAACGCAUAGACUGGGGUUUAAGCUUCUGUCACUCCAGCAACCCAUCAUCUACUUACUACUUCCAAUGCCUUCCUCUAGGCCCAAAUAUGUUGAAGUGUUAUGUAGUCGAUGUUCACAUAACACCACUAAAGGAAAAACAACAUACAACAUAUCAAAAUAACGAACGAAUAUCAAAUUCACAUGACUAUUAUCAGCAUGACUUAUCCCAUAUCCUCAGGAACAAAAGUAACUACUCACAAAGCAUAAUCAUAAUCAUGAUCAGAGGUGUAAUGAAUAGCAUGAAGGAUCUGAACAUAAACUCUUCCACCAUGUAAUCCAAUUAGCAUCAACUACAAAGAGUAAUCAACACUACUAGCAACCUUACAAGUACCAAUCGGUGUUGCGAGACGAAGAUUGGUUACAAGAGAUGAACUAGGGAUUGGAGAGGAGAUGGUGCUGAUGAAGAUGUUGAUUGAGAUGCCUCCCCUCCGACGAGAGGAGUGUUGGUGAUGACGAUGGCGAAGAUUUCCCCCUCCGGGAGGGAAGUUUCCCCGCCAGGAUCCUGUCGGGGCUCUAGAUUGGAUCUCCUCAAGUUCCGCCUUGUGGCAGCGGCGAAACCAUUGAAAAGCUCCCGAUUGAUUUUUUCUGGACCAAGACGCUUCAUAUAGCAAAACAGGGGGGCUAGUGGGCCGUUAGGAAACCCUUAAACUUGCCCUGCGCCACCAGGGGGGGUGGUGGCGGUGGGCAAGCUUGUGGAGCCCUGGUGUCCCCCCUCUGGUAGUUCUUUCACCCAGUAUUUUUUAUAUAGUCCAGAAAAAAUCGACGUAACUUUUCAGGGCAUUUGGAGAUGUGCAGAAUAGUGGACUAGGAUUUGCUCCUUUUCUAGUCCAGAAUUCCAGCUGCCUGAAUUCUCCCUCUUCAAAUAAACCUUGCAAAAUAAGAGAUAAAAUGCAUAAAUAUGUUACCACAAGUAAUAUAACAGCCCAAAAAGCAAUAAAUAUCAACAUGAAAGCAUGAUGCAAAAUGGACGUAUCAACUCCCCCAAGUUUAGACCUCGCUUGUCCUUUAGCGAAAACCAAGUUCCAUAAACAUGUCCACAUGUUGAGGGACGAAGGUGUGGAUAAAACAUAAUACGGACAUGAGGGCAUCAUGAUCACACAUAAAACAACAAUACAUCAUAAAGAUUCUUAUGGGAAAGUAACAAUUCCUUCACAAAACAAAGCAUGAAGCAAAAAUCUUACCAAGAAGUAACCAACAAUAAUUCAUAGUCAUUGAAGCAAUUGCAAUUUAUCACAACAUCAGAAAGAGUCAAAUAAGAGCUUGUAAGGCAAACCCACAUACUCAAUCAUAUCUUUUGUUUUCCACAAUUGUUACAACUCACGUGGUACUCAUGGUGUCAAAGUUUCAGCUGGACAUAGAGGAAGAUAGGGGCUUGUAGUUUUGCCUCCCAACGGUUUACCUCAAGGGUAAAGUCAACAACAAUAAAGCAUAAGUACUCAACUCCAAGUUGAUAUAUGAAUAUAGAUCUUUCCCAAGCAUGUGACGGCAGCCAAGACAAAGGCAAAAAGGGAAUUUGUGAAGAUCACCAUGACUCUUACAAGUGCAAAAAGUAAAGGUACAAGAUAGGCCCUUCGCGGAGGGAAGCAGAGGUUGUCAUGCGCUUUUGAGGUUUGAAUGUGUGUCCUCUUAGUGCGGAGGAACGUCACUUUAUAUUGCCUCCUAUGAUAAAGAACUUUAUUAUGCAGUCUGUUGCUUUUAUGUCUUCCUCAUCACAGGUUCGUACAAAGCUUAUUUUCCACACACUAAUAGAUCAUACAUAUUACAGAGCAAUUUUUAUUGCUUGCACCGAUGACGACUUACUUGAAGGAUCUUAUUCAAUCCAUAGGUAGGUAUGGUGGACUCUCAUGGCAAAACUGGUUGGAGGUUUAUGGAUGCACAAGUAGUAUCUCUACUUCGUGCGGGAGUUUUGGCUAAUAUGAGGUGGAAGCAAUCGUCACAUGCUAAGGGAUCUCUAAUCAUAUAACAUUGUUUGGAACCAAGCAAACACAAUUCAUUAUGUUGUCUUCCUUGUCCAACAUCUACUCCUAGUCAUGUAAUAGUUUGGUGAGUGCUCACAAUUGUAAAAAGUGUCUAAGAUGAUAUAUUUAUAUGUGAACCUAUCUUUCCUUAUUACUUCUUAUUAAUUGCAACAAUGUCUGAGGUCUAUAUUGAUUUAUUCUCAACAAGUUUCAAUCAUCAUACGUGUCAUAAGUGAAGUUAUCACUUUCCAUAAGAUCGUCUCAUGAUCUUUCAUGCUAUCGUUCUUUUCAUACUUUUUGAUCAUGGCACAAAGCAAAGCCCUUGACUAAGACACUCUUUAUUAUAUAGCUCGUAAGCUCGAAUACACUGGGGGAGAGACAAAAGCAAAAGACUCAAACUAAAAACUAAAGACGUAUUCCUCUAAAACAAGAAAUAAAAACUGAAAAAGAAGGAACUAAAACAAAGGUAAAAGAAAAAGAUAUAGAGGUGAUACGAUACCAGAGCAUCUCCCCCAAGCUUGGCAGAAGCCAAGGGGAUUGCCCAUACCAAUGCUUAGUCGUCUUCCUUUGGUGGUGAUGGUGGUGUUGUUGUUGGAGUAGUCUGAUCCUCCGUCUUCCAAGGCAUAGGUGCUCCAUCAUGGCAGGAUGAAUGAGUCACUGGAAUCCUCAAAUCUGCAGCCAACCUUAUUGAUUUAAAUCUGUGCUCAUACUCACAGUUUUGAUUCUGCAGGUCAUAGAUCUGGCCCUGAAGUUGAUCAACCCUAUCGUAGAGCCUAGAGAGGUGUUUCCCAAUAUCAAUGGCAUCCAUCUUGUGAUUCCUAGUGAAUUCUGUGACCAUCGUGUGGUUGGCGUUGAGUCCAUGCUCCACCAUCCCUUGGCACUUGAAGACUUGCUGCCCCAUUGCUUCGAGCCUCGUCUCCAUGCUUCCGGUCUUCUUAGGCCCCUCAACAUCACGGAUGUGCAACAUCCCCUCCCUCAUCUUCAUAGAUUGAGGGUGCUUCAGCACUUUCGUGAGGUAGGGAUUGAUGACCUUCUUGAAGAUCUUGUCCUUAGGAGCGUUUGGGGAAGUCAUGAUGAUCUAGAUCUGUCACAGAAAUAGGCUCGAAACGAAAACAGAGGAAAACUGCGUGAUACGGAGAUCAAAACCUUCGAGCGACUAUAUAUUGAUUUUUCUGGACCAGAAGGAGUGCUCUGCAAGAAAACGGAGUCCGGGAGGCACACGAGGUGCCCACAAGCUUGCCCUCCGCCACCAGGGGGGUAGGGGACGGUGGCAGGGCUUGGGGCCGCCUCGUUCGCUCUCUGGACUACUUUUAUUUUUCUAAUUUUCCAAAAGUUCCAAAACGGAGGAAAUUUCCUAUUGGAAAAGCAUCGGAGUCCAAUUUCUUACCGAAACGGAGACAUCUUCGUUUUCAGGGUCUGAAACAGGCUGAUAAACAUCCCUUAUGUACUCCUAUGGAGUUAUGACAUUGAUGAUAUUGGUCUCAACAUUUAUGGGAGUACCAGAGAUGUAAUGCUUUAUUCUUUGCCCAUUUACCACUCUAGGAAAAUUUCCUUCCGUGUUAUUGAUUUUGAUGGCACUGGAAUAAUAUACUUCCUCGAUAACAUAGAGACGUUCCCAUUUAGAAAGAAGCUUGCCUGCAAAGAAUCUCAAACGAGAAUUGUAUAGCAGGACAUAAUCACCUACAUUGAACUUUUGUUUCUGUAUUCGUUUGUCGUGCCAUCUCUUAACGUUUUCCUUGAACAACUUGGCAUUCUCAUAUGCCUGGGUUCUCCAUUCAUCUAACGAGCUGAUAUCAAACAACCGCUUCUCACCGGCAAGUUUGAAAUCAAAGUUGAGCUCUUUGAUUGCCCAAUAAGCUUUGUGUUCCAGCUCAAGAAGUAAAUGACAGGCCUUACUGUAAACCAUUUUAUACGGUGACAUGCCCAUGGGAUUCUUAUAAGCAGUCCUAUAAGCCCAUAGUGCAUCGUCAAGUUUGCUAGACCAGUUCUUUCGAGAUCUAUUGAAGGUCUUUUGUAGGAUCAACUUGAUCUCCCUAUUACUCAACUCUACUUGACCACUAGACUGAGGAUGAUAAGGAUAUGCAACUCUAUGGUUGACAUCAUAUGUAGCUAGCAUCUUGCGGAAAACACCAUGAAUGAAGUGUGAACCGCUAUCAGUCAUCAAGUAUCCAGGGACUCCAAAUCUUGGGAAUAUGACUUCUUUAAGCAUCUUAAUAGAGGUGUGGUGAUCAACAUUUUUAGUGGGGAUAGCUUCUACCCACUUAGUAACGUAAUCCACAGUAACCAAGAUGUGAGGGUACCCAUUGGAACUCGGGAAGGGUCCCAUAUAAUCAAAGCCCCAGACAUCAAAUGGUUCAAUGACAAGUGAAUAGUUCAUAGGCAUCUCUUGACGCUUACUGAUGUUCCCUAUCCUUUGGCAUUCGUUACAAGACAAGACAAACUUACGGGCAUCGUUGAAGAGAGUGGGCCAAUAGAAACCUGAUUGCAAUACCUUAUAGGCAGUUCUAUCUCCAGCAUGGUGUCCUCCGUAGGCUUCGGAAUGACACUUCUGCAGGAUCUGUCCCUGUUCAUGUUCAGGCACACAACAUCUAAUAACACCAUCUACUCCUUCCUUAUAAAGGUGAGGAUCAUCCCAAAAGUAGUGUCUCAAAUCAAAGAAGAAUUUCUUUUUUUGUUGAUAGGUGAAAAUGGGUGGUAUGUAUUUGGCUACGAUAUAGUUUGCAUAAUCGGCAUACCACGGUGCACUAAGUGAAGUGCGGAUGACAUUUAAUUGCUCAUCAGGAAAGCUGUCAUCAAUAGGUAGUGGGUCAUCAAGGACAUUCUCUAGCCUAGACAAGUUAUGUGCUACAGGGUUAUUAGCACCCUUUCGGACAACGACGUGCAAAUCAAAUUCCUGUAGCAGGAGAACCCAUCUGAUCAGCCUAGGCUUAGCUUCCUUCUUCUCCAUGAGGUACUUAAUAGCAGCAUGGUCAGAGUGAAUAGUGACUUCGGAGUCAACUAUGUAAGAUCUGAACUUUUCACAUGCAAACACGACUGCUAAAAAUUCCUUUUCCGUAGUGGCAUAGUUUCUUUGGGCACUGUCUAGAGUUUUACUAGCGUAGUGAAUGACAUUCAACUUCUUGUCAAUU